rnacentral:tRNA from 1 species
GCCGAUGUGGUGGAAUUGGUAGACACGCCAGACUUAGGAUCUGGUGCCUUACGGUGUGGAGGUUCAAGUCCUCUCGUCCGCACCA